rnacentral:rRNA from 1 species
UAGGGGAUCUUCCACAAUGGGCGAAAGCCUGAUGGAGCAACGCCGCGUGUGUGAUGAAGGGUUUCGGCUCGUAAAACACUGUUGUAAGAGAAGAAUGACAUUGAGAGUAACUGUUCAAUGUGUGACGGUAUCUUACCAGAAAGGAACGGCUAAAUACGUGCCAC